GUCCACGCCCUAAACGAUGUACACUAGUUGUUGUGAGACUUGAUCUUGCAGUAAUGCAGUUAACACAUUAAGUGUACCGCCUGGGGAGUACGGCCGCAAGGUUGAAACUCAAAGGAAUAGACGGGGACCCGCACAAGCGGUGGAGCAUGUGGUUUAAUUCGACGAUACACGAAGAACCUUACCUGGACUUGACAUAGUAAGAACUUUCUAGAGAUAGAUUGGUGUCUGCUUGCAGAAACUUAUAUACAGGUGCUGCACGGCUGUCGU
rnacentral:rRNA from 1 species